rnacentral:tRNA from 1 species
GGCCGUGUGGCGAAAUGGCAUCGCGUCUGACUACGACCAUUCGUUAUCAGGAGAUUGCAGGUUCGACCCCUGUCUCGGUCA